rnacentral:rRNA from 1 species
UAAGACCUUGUGCUUUAGGAGUGGCCGAUGUCUGAUUAGCUAGUUGGUAAGGUAAAGGCUUACCAAGGCGACGAUCAGUAGCUGGUCUGAGAGGACGAUCAGCCACACUGGGACUGAGACACGGCCCAGACUCCUACGGGAGGCAGCAGUGGGGGAUUUUGGACAAUGGGCGAAAGCCUGAUCCAGCAAUGCCGCGUGAGUGAAGAAGNCCUUCGGGUUGUAAAGCUCUUUCAAUCGAGAAGAAAAGAUUAUGUUUAAUAAACAUAAUUCAUGACGGUAUCGAUAGAAGAAGCACCGGCUAACUACGUGCCAGCAGCCGCGGUAAUACGUAGGGUGCUAGCGUUAAUCGGAAUUACUGGGCGUAAAGGGUGCGCAGGCGGCCCUGUAAGUCAGAUGUGAAAUCCCCGGGCUUAACCUGGGAAUU